rnacentral:tRNA from 1 species
GUCGCUAUAGUUUAACAAAAACACUAGGGUGUGGACCUAGAAACAGAAGUUUAAUUCUUCUUAGUGACC